rnacentral:rRNA from 1 species
CCUACGGGUGGCAGCAGUGAGGAAUAUUGGUCAAUGGGCGCGAGCCUGAACCAGCCAAGUAGCGUGAAGGAUGACUGCCCUACGGGUUGUAAACUUCUUUUAUAAAGGAAUAAAGUGAGCCACGUGUGCCUUUUUGUAUGUACUUUAUGAAUAAGCAUCGGCUAAUUCCGUGCCAGCAGCCGCGGUAAUACGGAGGAUGCGAGCGUUAUCCGGAUUUAUUGGGGUUAAAGGGAGCGUAGAUGGGUUGUUAAGUCAGUUGUGAAAGUUUGCGGCUCAACCGUAAAAUUGCAGUUGAUACUGGCAGCCUUGAGUACAGUGAAGGUAGGUGGAAUUCGUGGUGUAGCGGUGAAAUGCUUAGAUAUCACGAAGAACUCCGAUUGCGAAGGCAGUCUACCAAA